GACUGUCCUCAUUUUUGAAAAAGCGAAACAGCGCCUGAAAAAGCGAAACAGCGCCUCCCCAAAUAAUACGUAUUAAAUGUGUGGUCACACACGGUACUGCACUAAAACGUCUCGCGGUCUGGUAGAAGUUGGAAUCUCUUGGGGACCCAAUUAAAUCACUGGAUGGUGUCAAUGUCACUGUAGGCCGAUUGAUAUCUCUACAAUCAUGAUUUAAAUCAUUUGGUGUCGUACGUGGUAAACAUUUGAAUUUGUUAAUAGAAGAACACAACCUUAUUGAACAUCGACUUUAACACCAAGUUAUAAAUUAUUUCCGACGGCAGCUGAAGGGAGGCCUUCAGACCUUUAAGGAGGUGACUGGUUCGGGUGCGUCUCACGGGGACGGUUGAAGGGAAUGCUGGCUGAAUGGAACAAAGUAUCCAGCUCCACUGGGAUCUGGUAGUUCAAGGAGCAUCUGCAGCAGAGACUGCACCACUGGUGUUCCUCUGGUUUGGAAUUGACCCUCUCAACCAGACUCACUCUAUCAUUCCUUUUCAGCUCCAGUCACUUCACGUUAUGGAAACAAAGGCGAGUACUCCAUCACUGCACGGCACUGCACCGGUACAAUAAUGUACAAACUCCAGCUGAAGACUUUAGACACUGUGAAAGGAAGGCGCAGACAUUUCACUCAAGUUGUUUUGAUGGGAAGCGUGACUCCAACAGAAUUCCUCACCUCCCUUUUUUUUUCUGGAGAUGACUAAACUCAAUUAGUCUCCCAGAGCUGAGAGUUGUUGAAAGUGAAGGACGGUGCCUGUUUAUGUUUAGCAUUUAUCAGACGCCUGGCAGCUAAUGAGCGAAAUCAUUAUUCACUUUUCUUUCUUUAAGGUUUUUUUCUCUCCUCACGCUUUAAAAGUGUCAGCCACAAGUAUGUGCCGGCUGCACACAUGGAAUGAACAUGUGGAAGAACAGCUGUGCUGUUUAACAUUGGCUGGAAUGUGUGGACUGCAAGUUCUGGUUAAGGUUUUAUCACUUGAUUAACUCUUAGUUUUUCCUUUUAGUGAAUUCCUCAGCAAACACAGAGGAAUUGAAAGUUCAUGCCCAGUAGCUUUUAUCAUUGUGGCUCAAUAUAUGAUUUAAAUUUAGCACAAUUUAAAUGCUUCAAGUUGAACAAUAAGGAACCUGAACACAGCUACACUAUAAGAUUCCACAGGAAAAGGCCAAGCUAUAAAUGACCACAAUAAAAUAUGAUGGCAGUAAUGAUGCUUUAUGUGU
rnacentral:lncRNA from 1 species